rnacentral:rRNA from 1 species
AUGGCGACACCAGCGGAGACGAGCGCCUCACGUGCAAAGAGGGCGGAAGACCCUAGCGUCCUCCUGGAGAGAUUACACCUUCAAGAAGACGAACUGGACAAUCUUGUAUGGGAGGAGGAAGCUAAUGACCCGGAGGAGAGGCCAAAGUGGAUGGCCCUGGCUAGGGUUCUGACGGAGAAGUCCUUCGGGCAAGGGGCCUUGAUAGCCGACAUGAGGGCGACAUGGAAUCCGGCAAGGGAAGUGAUCUGGCGUAGGAUUAAUCCAAAUUUAUUCUCUGUACAAUUCAAUUGUUUGGGUGAUUGG